GACGAACGCUGGCGGCGUGCCUAAUACAUGCAAGUCGAGCGCAGGGAACUGACGGAACUCUUCGGAGGGAAGGCAGUGGAAUGAGCGGCGGACGGGUGAGUAACACGUAAGGAACCUGCCUCAAGGAUUGGGAUAACUCCGAGAAAUCGGAGCUAAUACCGGAUAGUUCAUCGGACCGCAUGGUCCGUUGAUGAAAGGCGCUCCGGCGUCACCUUGAGAUGGCCUUGCGGUGCAUUAGCUAGUUGGUGGGGUAACGGCUCACCAAGGCGACGAUGCAUAGCCGACCUGAGAGGGUGAUCGGCCACACUGGGACUGAGACACGGCCCAGACUCCUACGGGAGGCAGCAGUAGGGAAUCUUCCACAAUGGACGAAAGUCUGAUGGAGCAACGCCGCGUGAGUGAUGAAGGUUUUCGGAUCGUAAAACUCUGUUGUAAGGGAAGAACACGUACGAGAGGGAAUGCUCGUACCUUGACGGUACCUUACGAGAAAGCCACGGCUAACUACGUGCCAGCCGCCGCAGUAACAC
rnacentral:rRNA from 1 species